UGCCAUUCAUUGCCGUCUCAUAAGGGCAUCAUCAUCAAUCCAACAUAUAAAUACUUCAUUUAUAACAUGACUCUUAGUAGUUUACAUUACAUAUACGGGUACACAAACAAGAGACUCUCAACCGUCAGCGGAGUGACUUUAAGUAAAGGUAUCGCUACUGAGAUGCCAUAGUACCUACCAAGAAGACGAGCAUACGUGGACACUCAAUCUAGGUCCCAACUACCUACAAAUCUGAAAACAUGAAGUUUAAAAAUGUGAGUAUAAAAUUUAGUGAGUGAACAUAAGAAGGGAACAAGCAAUCGAUAAGGAGAACUUGGAAAUCAUGAUGCACUUGUUUCAAAAACAAUGCAAUUGAUUUAAUUUCUUUCUACAAACCCCUCAUUUCAAACUUUGAUUAAUAACCUCAUAGUGUUGCAAAAACCCAUGAUCAAUUCAUGAAGUUAAAUGGGUGAAAAAUAUGUCAAAAUCAAGCAAGGUAGCAAGCAUGAUAGCAAGUUUCUCGCUGCAACGAGAAACAUUCUCAAUUUGCAUAUGUUUUGAUUUUCAAGCAUAUCUCCCAUUAAAGAAGUCCAAUUGACAUGAUUUUUGAACCAUUAGAAAGCUAAAAGACUAGGCUACAACUUUGGUGUUUACCACUUUGCCCAGUUCUGUCGAAAGGUGGUCAAAAUAGUUGUCAAAGUGAAAGAACUACACUAGGAAAUUGGAACUACCCGAGAGUUUCUCGCUGCAGCGAGAAACAUUUUCGCUGUAGUGAAAUUCCUCACUGCAGCGAGAAUUCUUUUUCGGCUACAACAAGAAAUAGGGUUGGUUUGUGCUCCCACCACUUGAGAGUUUCUCGCUACAGCGAGAAUGAGAUUCAGGGCAGAUGACAAUUAAGGGAUUUUCACAUGCCACAAAAUCUAUUCCUACCAUAUUGCACAUCAAAGUGAACACAUUGACAAUAAUCAAGUUUCUAAUUAUUCAUUUCAAUCACAUAUUAUAAUCAUAAACUUUCUAUAACACAUAUAUAUAUAUAUACAUACAUCAUCAUGCAUACCAUUCUACCACACUCAGCUCAAGGCAACAUCAUCAUCAUGCGUGCACUCCCUACUCGCAGACUUCAACAUCAUCUUGUACGCACUCCUUACUCACACACUCUAACAUCAUCAUGUGUGCACUCCCUACUCGCACACUUCAACAUCGUCACACAACAUUAUUCAUCAAUGCACAACAUAUAUUCAUAUAUAUAUAUAUAUAUAUCAACAUAAUAUAGGAGCACAUGGAUUCAUCCUUUCACACAUUUCACAUUUUCAAAACAUCAAACAUUUUAUCAAGGGCUUGUUCCCUGGCACACAUUUUUAAAGGAAGGUUGGAUAAAAUCAUUCAAAUGUUUCAUCCAAAUACAUUUACAUUUCCCAAAGAAAUUUUGAAAUGCAAGUUCACUCACCGAUAUUUGUUGAAUCUUUAAUUGACUCUAACUUCGAUUAUUGCUUCAAACGGACAUGUGAGGCCUCGUUGGAACCUAUUACACACAAUAUAACCAUAAAAAAUAUAACAACCCACAAUUCUAAUUAUUAGCCAUCUCUAACCACCUAAAAUCAACCCUAACUCAUCUCUCACCUUGGUGGACUUAUAGUUGAACUCCUUUUUAAGAGUUUUCAAGCUACUAUGGCAAGUCUCUCUUUCUCUCUCUAAAACUUCCAGCUCAUGAGAGAAAGUGCUGAACAAAGACUUUUGAGGGUUUUAAAGUGGGAGAAUGAAAGAGCAUAAAAGGUUCUAUGAAAAAGUGCUAAAAAGCAUAAAAAUUGAAGCUAAAGAGAGAAAGUUAUGGAAGCUUUAAAGGAGGCUUCCAUGGAAGAUGAAGAAACGUGAGAUGGGA
rnacentral:lncRNA from 1 species